rnacentral:rRNA from 1 species
GACGAACGCUGGCGGCGUGCUUAACACAUGCAAGUCGAACGAUGAACCCGGAGCUUGCUCCGGUGGAUUAGUGGCGAACGGGUGAGUAACACGUGAGUAACCUGCCCUUGACUCUGGGAUAACUGCGGGAAACUGUAGCUAAUACCGGAUACGACCCUCGGCGGCAUCGCCAGGGGGUGGAAAGAAUUUCGGUCAAGGAUGGACUCGCGGCCUAUCAGCUAGUUGGUGAGGUAACGGCUCACCAAGGCGACGACGGGUAGCCGGCCUGAGAGGAUGACCGGCCACACUGGGACUGAGACACGGCCCAGACUCCUACGGGAGGCAGCAGUGGGGAAUAUUGCACAAUGGGAGCAAGCCUGAUGCAGCAACGCCGCGUGAGGGAUGACGGCCUUCGGGUUGUAAACCUCUUUUAGUAGGGAAGAAGCGAAAGUGACGGUACCUGCAGAAAAAGCACCGGCUAACUACGUGCCAGCCGCCGCGGUAA